UACGGGGGGGGCAAGCGUUGUUCGGAAUUACUGGGCGUAAAGGGCUCGUAGGCGGCCAACUAAGUCGGAUGUGAAAUCCCCAGGCUCAACUUGCGAACUGCAUCCGAUACUGGAUGGCUUGAAUUCGGGAGAGGGAUGCAGAAUUCCAGGUGUAGCGGUGAAAUGCGUAGAUAUCUGGAGGAAUACCGGUGGCGAAGGCGGCAUCCUGGACCGACAUUGACGCUGAGGAGCGAAAGCUAGGGGAGCAAACGGG
rnacentral:rRNA from 1 species